GGUGUUCUGGCUCAGUGGUAGAGUGCUCACCUAGCACGUGCAAGGCGCUGAGUUUGAUUCUCAACACCA
rnacentral:tRNA from 1 species